rnacentral:rRNA from 1 species
GUGCCAGCAGCCGCGGUAAUACGUAGGGGGCAAGCGUUGUCCGGAAUUAUUGGGCGUAAAGCGCUCGCAGGCGGUCUUUUAAGUCUGAUGUGAAAGCCCACGGCUUAACCGUGGAGGGUCAUUGGAAACUGGAGGACUUGAGUACAGAAGAGGAGAGUGGAAUUCCACGUGUAGCGGUGAAAUGCGUAGAGAUGUGGAGGAACACCAGUGGCGAAGGCGACUCUCUGGUCUGUAACUGACGCUGAGGAGCGAAAGCGUGGGGAGCAAACAGGAUUAGAUACCCUGGUAGUCC